GCCGUUGUUCUUGUUCUCACAGCACUUCGCUCUGGGAGUACUUGUUUGGCAAUUGUCUUCUUUCCUUCCCACUUGCUCUUCAAGUCCUUGAUUGGUUUGUAUCCAAUAUCACCUGUGACCUUGGCAGAAUUCAACACCUUACAUAAAUGGAACAAAGAUAAAAGGUAACAGAGAACAGCUAUCUGUCACUAUCGGCAGCAACUUGGGCCAACCAGGCAUUUUUAUCCUUUUCUUCUUUAGGAAGUUUAUAUAACAUUGAAUGUGGAAUGGCUUCAGUCACAUGAGCAGGCCAUCUGAUUUCAAAGUUCACCUUCUGCAAUGUUUUCAAUAAUAUAAUAAAGAGAGAGUGAACAACAACUAAUUACAAUCAGAAAAACACUUUCAUCUUAGUUCAGGGAAAGCAGAAUAAAACAUUGCACCCCAGACGUGGCCUAGUGGUUCAAUGAAGUUGAGUUGAUUCAAUUCCCACCACCAGUGACAAACACACCCUUGGUGAUUUCUUCGCAUCUGUUCUAUCCUUGAUGGAUAGAGUUAAGCUAGCCCAGACGCGCCAUAGGUAUCUCAAGAAUAAAUUAUUUUUUUCCACGCACAAAAUAAACAACCCCAAAACCCAGAAAUUAAUUAAGAAACAAAGAGCUCAGAUUCAAGGCCUUAUAGCUUAAACUCAAGUAAGAAGCCAAUUGACAGCGAAUACUCUACAACCAAAAAAUUGUAUUUUUCAUGCACAAAAAACUACAGAACCAAGAAAAUGCACAAUACCCGUUAAUCAAUUUUAAAAAGUUUAACAAAAAUAUUCACACCCAGAAAUUAAUCCAUGCAUGCAGAUGCAGUCAGUUUUGAUAAAUGGAUUUUUGUUCAGUACUUCUGAUAAAUGGAUUUCUGAAAAACAAGGUAAGAACGAUAACUAACUACUAACUGGUGGCGAAAUUUAUCCACAUCUGCAAGCAAAAGAAAGAAUGUAGCAUAACCCCAAAACCAAAAUAAGCAUAGUAUAACUAACCUUUUAUGAGGGCUUUGAUGAUACCCUGUCGACGGCCUAGGCAAUUUUCGAAAGCUUCAUCUACGGUGUGAAAUCCCAUUUCAUUUAGAAAACCACCCAUGCAUGACCACAAGACAGAAACGGAGGAAGAGCU
rnacentral:lncRNA from 1 species